GACGAACGCUGGCGGCGUGCUUAACACAUGCAAGUCGAACGGAAAGGCCCUGCUUGCAGGGUGCUCGAGUGGCGAACGGGUGAGUAACACGUGGGUGAUCCGCCCCUUACUUUGGGAUAAGCCUGGGAAACUGGGUCUAAUACUGGAUAGGACCAUGCUGUAGGUGGUGUGGUGGAAGGAUUAGUUUCGGUAAGGGAUGAGCUCGCGGCCUAUCAGCUUGUUGGUGGGGUAAUGGCCUACCAAGGCGUCGACGGGUAGCCGGCCUGAGAGGGUGGACGGCCACAUUGGGACUGAGAUACGGGCCAGACUCCUACGGGAGGCAGCAGUGGGGAAUAUUGCACAAUGGGCGCAAGCCUGAUGCAGCGACGCCGCGUGGGGGAUGACGGCCUUCGGGUUGUAAACUCCUUUCAGCCAUGACGAAGCCCUUGUGGUGACGGUAGUGGUAGAAGAAGCACCGGCUAACUACGUG
rnacentral:rRNA from 1 species